AAAUAAUGUUGAGCAUCGGUGUUUGGUUGUUUGGAACUGGCUAUGAUACAUUGUGGCUGUUUUUUCGGUCAUUAUGCAAUUUCAUUGUGUCUCUAGUCCCAAUGGCACGGUUUUUAGUCCAAUUAAACUAAAUGAAGAGAGAAACUUUAUUCUGAGUAUCACAAUUUUUGAUGAGGGUUUCGUCUCCUUGAUAAUGGUGUCAAUUUAUCUAAUAGGUCUGGUGAUAUGUUGGGAUGACUAUUUAACAAUACAAUGUAUAGUGGGAUCAGGCGACUGAUUUUUCGUGUCCAGUUCUCUGUUGUUUUUCUGACCUGUCUCUUUGGACUUCUUUCCACCAACCGACGACAACUCUUUCUUCUCGAACAUUUGUCUAAUACUUUUAUUUCCUUCUCUUCCUAGAGAUAGAUGUUUUCUCCAUCUUAUCCCUGGUUACAUUCCAUACUUCUCAUCUUUAUACCACCUGCAUAUCAUCCAACCCUCUCCCAUCAUUGUAAUUUUUUGCGUGUUUGUCUUAUUUUUAUUGU
rnacentral:lncRNA from 1 species